rnacentral:rRNA from 1 species
GUCCACGCCGUAAACGAUGUCGACUAGCCGUUGGAUUCCUUGAGGAUUUAGUGGCGCAGUUAACGCGAUAAGUCGACCGCCUGGGGAGUACGGCCGCAAGGUUAAAACUCAAAUGAAUUGACGGGGGCCCGCACAAGCGGUGGAGCAUGUGGUUUAAUUCGAAGCAACGCGAAGAACCUUACCAGGUCUUGACAUCCAGAAAACUUAGCAGAGAUGCUUUGGUGCCUUCGGGAAUUCUGUGACAGGUGCUGCAUGGCU